GGGGCCUGGCCGCGGGCAGGGUGGAGGGACACGUGCCAGCCCUGGGGCUGCGGGGGACAGACCCCUGCCCACUCUCUGCAACACCAGUCCCCCUGCUCAGCAGCUUGCCGUGGGCUGGGCUGGUGUUGGCAAGGGGGGAUGUGCAUCAUUCCCCCAGCAGAGAGAGGGACAAACGGGUCCCACACGUGCCCCCCCGGGGAGGAAGCACCCAUCCCUUGCACAACCCCCACACCGGGGAGGAGAAGAUGCUUUUCGCACCCCCCAUCAAACCUGUGUGUCUCAGGGCACCUGCACGUGCCUGGCCACAGUUUAUGGGCCACACAGCAUCUCAGGCUGCUCAGGACACCAUGGCCCUCAUCCCAUCCUGGGAGGUGGGGCUCCGAUUUGCUGGGGAGCAAGCUGGCAGGGCACUGCUUUGAGCAGCAGCCAUGCUGCACUGUGCCUCAGUUUCCCUUUGUGACAGGGAGAUACCGGUCCACCCACCCUCACCCCUUCCCUAAGACAGGGGCACAGCAGCGUGCCCACCGGCUGUGGCUCCUUGGCCUCUCUCCGUGCUGGCACCCACCAGCCUGGUGCUGGGCACCUUCAGCCCCCUGGGUCAGGGGAUCUGGGGUCCUCUGUGGCAUCUCUGGGGUGCAGGUGCUCCUGCCAGCACUAACACAUUCUCGGGUGCUGCACCGUGCUGGGGGCUGUCCCUCAGGGUCUCGUUUAGCAUCAGACCCUGGUUUGGGGAGGACAAGCCCCAUGGAGGCGGCGGCAGUGGGGCGGGGGGGUGCGCGCCUGGGGCUGAGCAAAGUCCUGCCGGUUCCCGGUCCGGAGGGCAGAGAUAAGCCCUGGAGCUGGCGGACGGCCGAGCGCAGGGGAGCGUCACACCUGGGGGGCGAUGCCAGCCCCAGCCCCACCAUGUUGCUAGGGGUGUUUGGGAGGACGGGAACUUGCCUCCCCCCCAUGUGCGGGCCGCUCCGGGGGCGCGGUGGCCGACCUGGUGUGACCCCAGUGCUUGCCCGGGCGUGUGCACCCGCGGGGACGCGGCUCGGCGCACACAGUGUCGGAGCCCGCUGCGCGCCCCCGCAGCGUGGCCCCCCCGCCCGCAGCUCGGGGGGCAGCGGUGGGGCCGGGGCCGGUGGGGGGCCGGGGGCCGCUGCAGUUCCGGCCGGGGCCGCGGGGCGGCGCCCGCCCCCGGCCGGCGGCGGUUACGCAAGGGCGGGGCGUGCCGCCCGCUGGUCUUGGGCUUGUUUUGCACCCUGGGUUUGUUUUGCACGCCAGUUUUGUUUUGCUCUCCCGUUUUCGCUUUGCAGUCCGGUUUUGUUUUGCACUCCGGGUCAUGUUUUGCCUGCCUGUGUUGUUUUUCCACUCCCGUUCCGGGGUUGCACUCCUGGUUUUGCUUUGCACGCCCGUGGCUGCCCGUUUCCCUUCUGCCCCGUCUCUGCAGCCGGGGCGGGCUCUGGUGGUCGUGGGCUUGCAGGCGUGCGUACCCCAAAGGCACAGCGCGUUUUCCCCUUUUCCCAGUCCCUCAAGCGGGGCCCCCGCACAGCUGAACUCCCAUCCCAGUUAUACGUGGGGAGCACAGGAAGGGGGUGCUGAGGCAUGGGGGCCGCGCAGGAAUGUGGGGUUGAGGGGUGGGGUGGCAGGACUCUCGUUGCAGAAGAUGGGUGGGUGUACAGAUGAGAGGUGCAGAGAGGACAGAGUGCUGGAGAGCCUGGGUCCUGCACUGGGAGGGGGCCACGCUGUGCUGGGGUGCAACUGGGAGGCGCAGAAGUGCGGCCGUGGAGCGCCGGGGGGCUGUGCCAGGGUGCCGGGGGCCUGUGCCAGGCUGCGUUACCAGCUGGUAGCGGUGCCGUGCUGGGGAGCAGGCGCAGCACCGGGCCGACACCGGGCGCGGCGCUGUGGGGCGGCGGGCGGGCUCGGGCCCGCUGGCACCGCCCGGCGGGGCGGACGCCGCCGAUAUAAGCGGGGGCGGGGGGGGGGCAGCGCUGCAUUGCGUUCGGUUUUGCUUCGCCUGCGCAUCCAGCUCACCGCGGCUAUAGCCAUGAGCACCGGCAUGUACCAGUCCCCCAUGGAGGUGGCUGUCUACCAGCUCCACAACUUCUCCAUCUCCUUUUUCUCCUCGCUGCUUGGGGGGGACGUGGUCUCCGUGAAGCUCGAUAACAGCGCCUCCGGAGCCAGCGUGGUGGCCAUCGACAACAAGAUCGAGCAGGCAAUG